UACGUAGGGUGCAAGCGUUGUCCGGAAUUAUUGGGCGUAAAGGGCUCGUAGGCGGUUUGUCGCGUCGGGAGUGAAAACUCAGGGCUUAACCCUGAGCCUGCUUCCGAUACGGGCAGACUAGAGGUAUGCAGGGGAGAACGGAAUUCCUGGUGUAGCGGUGAAAUGCGCAGAUAUCAGGAGGAACACCGAUGGCGAAGGCAGGUCUCUGGGCGUCUACUGACGCUGAGGAGCGAAAGCAUGGGGAGCGAACAGG
rnacentral:rRNA from 1 species